UAAAAAGCUUCAAACUGGGAUUAGAUACCCCACUAUGCUUAGCCAUAAACCAAGACUCCAAAUUACAAUGGCGUCCGCCUGGAAACUACGAGCACUAGCUUAAAACCCAAAGGACCUGACGGUGUCUUAGAUCCCCCUAGAGGAGCCUGUUCUAGAACCGAUUAUCCUCGUUGAACCUCACCACUUCUAGUCUUGCCAGCCUAUAUACCGCCGUCGUCAGCUUACCCUGUGAAGGAAAAGAAGUAAGCAGAAUGGGCNCAGCCCAGUACGUCAGGUCGAGGUGUAGCAUAUGAAGCGGGAAGAAAUGGGCUACAUUCUCUGCAGUUAGAGUAUUACGAAUGCGCAACAUGAAACAUGUGCCAGAAGGAGGAUUUAGUAGUAAAAUGGAAACAGAGUGUCCUCCGCCCGUCGCCCUAUGCAGCUG
rnacentral:rRNA from 1 species